UAUAACGGUCCUAAGGUAGCGAAAUUCCUUGUCGGGUAAGUUCCGACCUGCACGAAUGGCGUAACGAUGGCCACACUGUCUCCUCCUGAGACUCAGCGAAGUUGAAAUGUUUGUGAUGAUGCAAUCUACCCGCAGCUAGACGGAAAGACCCCAUGAACCUUUACUGUAGCUUUGCAUUGGACUUUGAACCGGUUUGUGUAGGAUAGGUGGGAGGCGUUGAGACGAGGAUGCUAGUUCUCGUGGAGCCAACCUUGAAAUACCACCCUGAUCUGUUUGAGGUUCUAACCUUGGCCCGUUAUCCGGGUCGGGGACAGUGCAUGGUAGGCAGUUUGACUGGGGCGGUCUCCUCCCAAAGUGUAACGGAGGAGUACGAAGGUACGCUUGGUACGGUCGGACAUCGUGCCUAAAGUGCAAUGGCAAAAGCGUGCUUAACUGCGAGACUGACAAGUCGAGCAGGUACGAAAGUAGGACAUAGUGAUCCGGUGGUUCUGUAUGGAAGGGCCAUCGCUCAACGGAUAAAAGGUACUCUGGGGAUAACAGGCUGAUACCGCCCAAGAGUUCAUAUCGACGGCGGUGUUUGGCACCUCGAUGUCGGCUCAUCUCAUCCUGGGGCUGUAGCCGGUCCCAAGGGUAUGGCUGUUCGCCAUUUAAAGAGGUACGUGAGCUGGGUUCAAAACGUCGUGAGACAGUUUGGUCCCUAUCUGCCGUGGGCGUUGGAGAUUUGACGGGGGCUGCUCCUAGUACGAGAGGACCGGAGUGGACGUACCGCUGGUGUACCUGUUGUUUCGCCAGAAGCAUCGCAGGGUAGCUAUGUACGGAAGAGAUAACCGCUGAAAGCAUCUAAGCGGGAAACUUGCCUGAAGAUAAGAUCUCCCGGAGGUUUAACCUCCAUAAAGGGUCGUUGAAGACCACAACGUUGAUAGGUCAGGUGUGGAAGCGCAGUAAUGCGUUAAGCAAAAACAACCAUGUCUAAACAGAAACUAAGUCCA
rnacentral:rRNA from 1 species